rnacentral:rRNA from 1 species
GAUGAACGCUGGCGGCGUGCCUAAUACAUGCAAGUCGAGCGAACAGACGAGGAGCUUGCUCCUCUGACGUUAGCGGCGGACGGGUGAGUAACACGUGGAUAACCUACCUAUAAGACUGGGAUAACUUCGGGAAACCGGAGCUAAUACCGGAUAAUAUAUUGAACCGCAUGGUUCAAUAGUGAAAGACGGUUUUGCUGUCACUUAUAGAUGGAUCCGCGCCGCAUUAGCUAGUUGGUAAGCUAACGGCUUACCAAGGCAACGAUGCGUAGCCGACCUGAGAGGGUGAUCGGCCACACUGGAACUGAGACACGGUCCAGACUCCUACGGGAGGCAGCAGUAGGGAAUCUUCCGCAAUGGGCGAAAGCCUGACGGAGCAACGCCGCGUGAGUGAUGAAGGUCUUCGGAUCGUAAAACUCUGUUAUUAGGGAAGAACAAAUGUGUAAGUAACUAUGCACGUCUUGACGGUACCUAAUCAGAAAGCCACGGCUAACUACGUG